rnacentral:rRNA from 1 species
GCUAAAAAUCUAGCUAUUUAACACACUCUUCAUCCCCCACCCAAUUAAAAUAUUCCACCAACAUAGUAAAGAAGAUUAAAAAAUUCCCACAAGCUAUAAACAUGUACCGCAAGGGAAAGAUGAAAUAUCAAUGAAAUAACUUAAAGCCUAAAAAAGUAGAGACUCCCCCUCGUACCUUUUGCAUCAUGGUUUAGCAAGUCUAACUAGGCAAAAACCCCUUUUAGUCUAGCCCCCCGAAACUAAGUGAGCUACUUUAAAGUCGCUUACUGAGCUAACCCAACUGUGUUGCAAAACAGUGGGAUAACUUUAAAAUAGAGGUGAAACACCUAACGAACUUAGUUAUAGCUGGUUUCUCAAGAAAGGAAUCUUAGUUCCGCCUAAAGAGAUAAAAAUACAUUUAAAUAACCUUCCACUCUUUAGAGUAACUCAAAUAAGGUACAGCCUAUUUGACACAGGAUCCAACCUUUACCUCAGGGUAAAUUCUUCCCUUAUUACCCCAAGUGGGCCUAACAGCAGCCACCUUUAAAAAAGCGUCAAAGCUUAACAUUCUUACAAUAAUUUAACUAACCCAGUUAACCCCUACAAACAUAUUGAGAAAUUCUAUAACUUUAUAGAAGCUAUUAUGCUAAAACUAGUAACAAGAGGAUCAACCUCUCUUUAAUGCGAACAUAAGUCAGAAAGGACUUACCACUGACACUUACCAAAAAAGUAGAAACUCUUCUAGAAAACCCUACUUAAUCAAAUGUUAACCUAACACAAGAGCAUUACCAGAAAGAUUAUAAGAAAAAGAAGGAACUCGGCAAAUAUAAGUUCCGCCUGUUUACCAAAAACAUCGCCUCCUGUACUCAUAAGAGGUCCAGCCUGCCCAGUGACCCAGUUCAACGGCCGCGGUAUCCUAACCGUGCAAAGGUAGCGUAAUCACUUGUUUUCUAAAUAAAGACUAGUAUGAAAGGCACCACGAGACCCAAACUGUCUCCCUUUUCUAAUCAGUGAACCUAAUCUCCCCGUGAAAAAGCGGGAAUUACCCAAUAAGACGAGAAGACCCUAUGGAGCUUUAAACACUAUUACACCUGCAAAAUUAACACCAAAAUGUUUUACCUGCACCAUGAUUAUAUGUUUUCAGUUGGGGUGACUGCGGAGAAAACCCAAUCCUCCAUGGUGAACGGCCUUACGCCUAAACAAUAAGUCACAACUUUAAGUAUCAAUAAAUUGACUCCAUUGACCCAAUACAUUGAUUAACGAACCAAGUUACCCUAGGGAUAACAGCGCAAUCCACUUCAAGAGCCCCUAUCGACAAGUGGGCUUACGACCUCGAUGUUGGAUCAGGGUAUCCUAGUGGUGCAGCCGCUACUAAAGGUUCGUUUGUUCAACGAUUAAAACCCUACGUGAUCUGAGU